CCCCUAGAUGUUCUGGGCCGCACGCGCGCUACACUGAACAGUUCAACAAGUCUUAACCUUGGCCGAUAGGUCUGGGUAAUCUUUGAACGCUGUUCGUGAUUGGGAUAGACCUUUGCAAUUAUGGGUCUUCAACGAGGAAUUCCUAGUAAACGCAAGUCAUCAGCUUGCAUUGAUUACGUCCCUGCCCUUUGGACACACCGCCCGUCGCACCUACCGAUUGAAUGGUCCGGUGAAAUCUCGGGACGGCGGCUUGGUCGCUUGCGUCCGACUGCUGAAACUUGAUUAAACCAUAUCAUUUAGAGGAAGGUGAANUCGUAACA
rnacentral:rRNA from 1 species